GAUGAACGCUAGCGGCAGGCCUAACACAUGCAAGUCGAGGGGUAACAGGGAAAAGCUUGCUUUUCCGCUGACGACCGGCGCACGGGUGCGUAACGCGUAUGCAACCUACCUCUUACUGGGGUAUAGCCCAGAGAAAUUUGGAUUAAUCCCCCAUAGUACCAUUUAAUCGCAUGGUUGAAUGGUUAAAGGUUACGGUAAGAGAUGGGCAUGCGUCCCAUUAGUUAGUUGGUGAGGUAAUGGCUCACCAAGACUCCGAUGGGUAGGGGUUCUGAGAGGAUGAUCCCCCACACUGGUACUGAGACACGGACCAGACUCCUACGGGAGGCAGCAGUGAGGAAUAUUGCGCAAUGGACGAAAGUCUGACGCAGCCAUGCCGCGUGCAGGAUGACGGCGCUACGCGUUGUAAACUGCUUUUAUUUACAAAGAAACCUCGGGACGUGUCCCGAGCUGACGGUAGUAUUUGAAUAAGCACCGGCUAACUCCGUGCCAGCCGCCGCCGUAACAC
rnacentral:rRNA from 1 species